UGCUCACUUCAGCAGCCAUACACUAAAAUUGGAAUGAUCUAGAGAAAAUCUGCUUGGCCCCUGCACAAAGAUGACACACAAAACUCUUCAGGUUUUAAUUUUAAAU
ensembl:snRNA U6 U6 spliceosomal RNA